rnacentral:tRNA from 1 species
GGUGGCUCAAUGGUAGAGUGCUUGCCUUGCAUGCAUGAGGCCCUGGGUUCAAUUCCUCAGCACCG